AGAACAUCCCCUAAUUCAGCAACAUCUACCUUUUUCAUUUUAGCCUCUGCCUUCAUUUGGGUUUCCCCAGAAGCUCACUCUAAAUCAGGGGUUCUCAACCUUGGCGCUUUUGGACACUUUGAGCUGGGCAAAUGAUAUCUGGCACCUAUCGCCAGGAAUAGAAGCCUGAGCACUUUUCCCUGCUGCAUUUUGGUGUCAGAGUCAGCAAGUAAAACACGGCACAGGUUACAGUACUUACUACCCAUUUAGGAACUCUGUGAGCCGUAAAAUGAUCUGCCCAAAGCUCAUGAGUGCCAGCUGUGUGCCCAACACCAUGCUAUGCUGGUGGCCAAGGCCCUGCCUGCAUAGAGAAUAUCAUCUGGGGAGAAUUCAGACAGCAAGAACCAAGUGUGAGGAUUAUGACCAAACGAGCAGCACUGGGUCCAGGCCCACGGUGCUAGAAGCCAAUAUUCAGUUUUCAGCAGAGAAACAAUUGGGCUGUCUCCAGGUCAGAAGAAGGUGAAGGUGAUCCCUGACUUGCUUGCAGUGUGGGAUCAUCACAUGAAACGGCCCUUUCACCAAGAGUACGUGUAAGAGGGAAGAGCUCAUUUCACCUCCCCCUCUCAAAAUGGCAGUACAUCGAAAGAGCGGGAAUGGACGUGAGGCUACAAAUGACCACAAGGUACACUCAGCCACUUCUUGUUUAUUUGUUCAGAACCUUGAAGGAAAUGUCCGUCCUUUGAA
rnacentral:lncRNA from 12 species